rnacentral:rRNA from 1 species
AGUCAGAGCCCGUUAAUGGGUGAUGGCGUGCCUUUUGUAGAAUGAACCGGCGAGUUACGAUUUGAUGCAAGGUUAAGCAGUAAAUGUGGAGCCGUAGCGAAAGCGAGUCUGAAUAGGGCGUUUAGUAUUUGGUCGUAGACCCGAAACCAGGUGAUCUACCCUUGGUCAGGUUGAAGUUCAGGUAACACUGAAUGGAGGACCGAACCGACUUACGUUGAAAAGUGAGCGGAUGAACUGAGGGUAGCGGAGAAAUUCCAAUCGAACCUGGAGAUAGCUGGUUCUCUCCGAAAUAGCUUUAGGGCUAGCCUCAAGUGAUGAUUAUUGGAGGUAGAGCACUGUUUGGACGAGGGGCCCCUCUCGGGUUACCGAAUUCAGACAAACUCCGAAUGCCAAUUAAUUUAACUUGGGAGUCAGAACAUGGGUGAUAAGGUCCGUGUUCGAAAGGGAAACAGCCCAGACCACCAGCUAAGGUCCCAAAAUAUAUGUUAAGUGGAAAAGGAUGUGGCGUUGCCCAGACAACUAGGAUGUUGGCUUAGAAGCAGCCAUCAUUUAAAGAGUGCGUAAUAGCUCACUAGUCGAGUGACACUGCGCCGAAAAUGUACCGGGGCUAAACAUAUUACCGAAGCUGUGGAUUGUCCUUUGGACAAUGGUAGGAGAGCGUUCUAAGGGCGUUGAAGCAUGAUCGUAAGGACAUGUGGAGCGCUUAGAAGUGAGAAUGCCGGUGUGAGUAGCGAAAGACGGGUGAGAAUCCCGUCCACCGAUUGACUAAGGUUUCCAGAGGAAGGCUCGUCCGCUCUGGGUUAGUCGGGUCCUAAGCUGAGGCCGACAGGCGUAGGCGAUGGAUAACAGGUUGAUAUUCCUGUACCACCUAUAAUCGUUUUAAUCGAUGGGGGGACGCAGUAGGAUAGGCGAAGCGUGCGAUUGGAUUGCACGUCUAAGCAGUAAGGCUGAGUAUUAGGCAAAUCCGGUACUCGUUAAGGCUGAGCUGUGAUGGGGAGAAGACAUUGUGUCUUCGAGUCGUUGAUUUCACACUGCCGAGAAAAGCCUCUAGAUAGAAAAUAGGUGCCCGUACCGCAAACCGACACAGGUAGUCAAGAUGAGAAUUCUAAGGUGAGCGAGCGAACUCUCGUUAAGGAACUCGGCAAAAUGACCCCGUAACUUCGGGAGAAGGGGUGCUCUUUAGGGUUAACGCCCAGAAGAGCCGCAGUGAAUAGGCCCAAGCGACUGUUUAUCAAAAACACAGGUCUCUGCUAAACCGUAAGGUGAUGUAUAGGGGCUGACGCCUGCCCGGUGCUGGAAGGUUAAGAGGAGUGGUUAGCUUCUGCGAAGCUACGAAUCGAAGCCCCAGUAAACGGCGGCCGUAACUAUAACGGUCCUAAGGUAGCGAAAUUCCUUGUCGGGUAAGUUCCGACCCGCACGAAAGGCGUAACGAUUUGGGCACUGUCUCAACGAGAGACUCGGUGAAAUCAUAGUACCUGUGAAGAUGCAGGUUACCCGCGACAGGACGGAAAGACCCCGUGGAGCUUUACUGUAGCCUGAUAUUGAAAUUCGGCACAGCUUGUACAGGAUAGGUAGGAGCCUUUGAAACGUGAGCGCUAGCUUACGUGGAGGCGCUGGUGGGAUACUACCCUAGCUGUGUUGGCUUUCUAACCCGCACCACUUAUCGUGGUGGGAGACAGUGUCAGGCGGGCAGUUUGACUGGGGCGGUCGCCUCCUAAAAGGUAACGGAGGCGCUCAAAGGUUCCCUCAGAAUGGUUGGAAAUCAUUCAUAGAGUGUAAAGGCAUAAGGGAGCUUGACUGCGAGACCUACAAGUCGAGCAGGGUCGAAAGACGGACUUAGUGAUCCGGUGGUUCCGCAUGGAAGGGCCAUCGCUCAACGGAUAAAAGCUACCCCGGGGAUAACAGGCUUAUCUCCCCCAAGAGUUCACAUCGACGGGGAGGUUUGGCACCUCGAUGUCGGCUCAUCGCAUCCUGGGGCUGUAGUCGGUCCCAAGGGUUGGGCUGUUCGCCCAUUAAAGCGGUACGCGAGCUGGGUUCAGAACGUCGUGAGACAGUUCGGUCCCUAUCCGUCGUGGGCGUAGGAAAUUUGAGAGGAGCUGUCCUUAGUACGAGAGGACCGGGAUGGACAUACCUCUGGUGUACCAGUUGUCGUGCCAACGGCAUAGCUGGGUAGCUAUGUGUGGACGGGAUAAGUGCUGAAAGCAUCUAAGCAUGAAGCCCC